rnacentral:rRNA from 1 species
CCUACGGGAGGCUACAGUGAGGAAUAUUGGUCAAUGGGCGCGAGCCUGAACCAGCCAAGUAGCGUGAAGGAUGACGGCCCUACGGGUUGUAAACUUCUUUUAUAAAGGAAUAAAGUGAGGCACGUGUGCCUUUUUGUAUGUACUUUAUGAAUAAGGAUCGGCUAACUACGGGCCAGCAGCCGCGGUAAUACGGAGGAUCCGAGCGUUAUCCGUAUUUAUUGGGUUUAAAGGGAGCGUAGAGGGGUUGUUAAGUCAGAUGUGAAAGUUUGCGGCUCAACCGUAAAAUUGCAAUUGAUACUGGCAGUCUUGAUUACCGUUGAGGUAGGCGGAUUUCGUGGUGUAGCGGUGCAAUGCUUAGAUAUCACG